rnacentral:lncRNA from 1 species
UAAAAAAAAUAAAUACGAGGAAAUAAAAAGGGGCAAGUGCCCGGAACCUCGAAAGAAAAGAAAAAAAAAAGAGAGAGAGAAAAAAAAGAGAAAAAAAAAGUGAGACGAGAGGUAAAAAUGGACAAGUGUCCGACAGUAGAAUUAGGGGUACAAGAUACCCGUUUGAGAGAAAAGAAAAAGAAAAUAUAGAGCAUCUCAUUCUCCCUGAAAGUUUCAAAAGAGCAAGAAAGGUAUGUAUCCCCUCAAAAGAGCAUAAGUAGAAUUAGACUUCCACCAUUGUUAUCACCAUCAUCACCAUACACCAUUCAU